GAGCCUGACCGGGCUAACAAGAACUGCUAACUACUUGUGACCGUGGUUCAACUCCACGGCCGGCUCG
rnacentral:tRNA from 1 species